AAAGAGACACUAAAUCUUGAUUUGGCCUUCAUGGAUAGAUCUUCAUACUCCUUACUGCAGCAAAAAUAGGUAAAAAACCCAGUUUAAAAAGGAUUCACUUUACGAGUUAAAGUGGAGAAUAUAAGACUAGAUAAGGGAUGCCCAGUUUUAAAAGGAUUCACUUUACAAGUUAAAGUGGAGAAAUAUAAGACUAGAUAAAGGGUUAUCUUCAGAACUUAUUUGAUAAUUCUUAACGCAGAUCAAAAGGCAGAUGUACAAUAUCUUUUAUGGUUUCCAAUGUAGGGUGCUCUAAAAUCUAGGAUCUCGUGGUCAGUAUAUUUUCCAGAACUAUUGUAUUCCAUUCGAGUAUCAGCA
rnacentral:lncRNA from 1 species